rnacentral:rRNA from 1 species
UAAUACGGAGGGUGCAAGCGUUGUCCGGAUUUAUUGGGUUUAAAGGGUGCGUAGGCGGCCCGUUAAGUCAGCGGUGAAAUCCCAGGGCUCAACCCUGGAACUGCCGUUGAUACUGGCGGGCUUGAGUUUGGUUAAGGCGGGCGGAACUGGUGGUGUAGCGGUGAAAUGCAUAGAUACCACCAAGAACCCCGAUUGCGUAGGCAGCUCGCUGAGCCAAAACUGACGCUGAGGCACGAAAGCGUGGGGAGCGAACAGGAUUAGAUACCCUGGUAGUCCACGCCGUAAACGAUGAGUACUCGAUGUUAGCGAUAUACUGUUAGCGUCCAAGCGAAAGCGUUAAGUACUCCACCUGGGGAGUACGCCCGCAAGGGUG